rnacentral:tRNA from 1 species
GGGGAAUUAGCUCAAAUGGUAGAGCGCUCGCUUAGCAUGCGAGAGGUAGCAGGAUUGAUGCCUGCAUUCUCCA